UACGGAGGGAGCUAGCGUUGUUCGGAAUUACUGGGCGUAAAGCGCGCGUAGGCGGCUUUGUAAGUUAGAGGUGAAAGCCCGGGGCUCAACCCCGGAACUGCCUUUAAGACUGCAUCGCUUGAAUCCAGGAGAGGUGAGUGGAAUUCCGAGUGUAGAGGUGAAAUUCGUAGAUAUUCGGAAGAACACCAGUGGCGAAGGCGGCUCACUG
rnacentral:rRNA from 1 species